GCUUCGCGCGAGAUGUAAUGCUCAGAACUUUGGGACGCCGUCACCAGGUGAGGACGUCGAAACGAGAGAUCUCGAACUUCGCCGAUCUUUCUACGAGAGACGGAACGACCAGGAUCUGCAACCCGCACUUCGACAGUACAGUUUCACGAGUCAUAAGCGUGUGUUUUCCACGUACGUUUGUAAUGUACAUAAAUGAAUUCGGCGCGUAACACGUUCAUAUUCUAAUUGGAUUUUCGCUUUAAAUGUGAGUAAGUUAUGAACUGUGGUGGAAGGAAAAACCGGCGCGAAGAUAUUUUUAAGGGCAAUUUCUGUUAUUUUAAGUGUGCCGGUCAAACAUGUUGGGUAGUCUACUGAAUAUGUGUUGAAAUUUGCCGCAUUUCGUCUGUUAUUAUUACUCAGAGGUUGAACUGAAGUGCUGGCUACGGACAAGGAACCACUGUGACUGUCCAAGGCUAACAAGAACUUGUGUAGUGUCUUUAAAACUUUGUGGAACAAAGAGGUCGGAACCUUUCUCCUCAGGGGGUUGGCCGAACGGUCAGCUUUGUUUCUGUCGGGUCAAUACAGAAAUUAACGAAAAAGAGGCCUGAAAUUCGACAACCGCAAGUUGGUCCGUUUUAAAAGGUGAGCCAUUAAGGAUUUUCGAUGGGGGCAUAUCAGG